AUUGAACGCUGGCGGCAAGCCUAACACAUGCAAGUCGUGCGAAAUGAUGAAAAUCAUUUAGCGGCGGACGGGUGAGUAAGAUAUGGGAAUCUACCUAAAGAUGGGGGAUAACUAUCGGAAACGGUAGCUAAUACCGCGUAAGCUCUCGAUAAGGAAACUGAUCGAGAGGAAAGCGGGGGAUAUGUCAUAAUCAUCGAUAUACCUCGCGUCUUUAGAUGAGCCCAUACGAGAUUAGCUAGUAGGUGAGAGUAAAAGCUCACCUAGGCAACAAUCUCUAGCUGGUCUGAGAGGACGACCAGCCACACUGGGACUGAGAUACGGCCCAGACUCCUACGGGAGGCAGCAGUGGGGAAUAUUGCACAAUGAGCGAAAGCUUGAUGCAGCUAUGCCGCGUGUAUGAAGAAGGCCCUAGGGUUGUAAAGUACUUUCAGUUGCGAAGAAAAAGAUGAAGAUAACACCUUCUUCGGAUGACGUUAGCAACAGAAGAAGCACCGGCUAACUCCGUGCCAGCAGCCCGCGGUAAUACGGAGGGGUGCGAGCGUUAAUCGGAAUUACUGGGCGUAAAGGGCACGCAGGUGGUAAGUUAAGUUGAUUUGUGAAAUCCCUGGGCUCAACCUAGGAAAGCAUUCAAAACUAAUUUACUAGAGUCUUGUAGGGGGGAAUAGAAUUCCAUGUGUAGCGGUGAAAUGCGUAGAGAUAUGGAGGAAUACCGAUGGCGAAGGCAAUUCCCUGGACAAAGACUGACACUCAUGUGCGAAAGCAUGGGGAGCAAACAAGAUUAGAUACCCUGGUAGUCCAUGCCGUAAACGAUGUCGAUUAGGAGGUUGCUACGUUUAAGUAGUGGCUUCCGAAGCUAACGCAUUAAAUCGACCGUCUGGGGAGUACGGCCGCAAGGUUAAAACUCAAAUGAAUUGACGGGGGCCCGCACAAGCGGUGGAGCAUGUGGUUUAAUUCGAUGCAACGCGAAAAACCUUACCUACUCUUGACAUCCAAAGAAAUCUGCAGAGAUGUAGAUGUGCCUUCGGGAACUUUGAGACAGGUGCUGCAUGGCUGUCGUCAGCUCGUGUUGUGAAAUGUUGGGUUAAGUCCCGCAACGAGCGCAACCCUUAUUCUUUGUUGCCAUCGAUUCGGUCGGGAACUCAAAGAAGACUGCCGGUGAUAAACCGGAGGAAGGAGAGGACGACGUCAAGUCAUCAUGGCCCUUACGAGUAGGGCUACACACGUGCUACAAUGGCGUAUACAGAGAGAAGCGAACUCGUAAGAGCGAGCCAAACUAAAAAAGUACGUCACAGUCCGGAUUGGAGUCUGCAACUCGACUCCAUGAAGUAGGAAUCGCUAGUAAUCGCGAAUCAGCAUGUCGCGGUGAAUACGUUCUCGGGCCUUGUACACACCGCCCGUCACACCAUGGGAGUGGGUUGUAAAAGAAGCAGGUAGCUUAACCUGUUCAGGAAAGCGCCUACCACUUUAUGAUUCGUGACUGGGGUG
rnacentral:rRNA from 1 species